GUGACGUAGAGGACAAGCGCUGUAGAGGUCGCGCGGCGCUUCCACAGUGCGCUUCCGGGGCUGUUAGAGCGCGUGUGCGUUGUUUCCUGCUUCGAGCAGUAACUGCUCCUUAAGGCAAGGAAGCUACGGAUGGAGCCUGUCUGUAGCACUGCAGGGGAACCAAAGCUCAGACAUGUAGAAAAGGAUAUUUUGAUUCCAAAACUAAUGAAAGACAAAGCCAAGGAGCUAUGUUCUGAACAAGUGAAAGACUUUACCAAAUGUUGUAAAGAGACAGGUUUUCUUAUGGUGGUGAAGUGCCAAAAGGAAAACAAACUCCUGAAAGAAUGUCUCACCAGCCACUAUACUGAUCCAGCAUUUUAUGAAGAAUGCAAGGCUGAAUAUUUGAAAACCAGGGAAGAAUACAGAGCAACAAAGAUUCCUCCUCAUUAGAAGCCUACUACUAGCACAUAGGCAAGUUGUAUGGCUGACAUUUUUAACCUGAACUUACGUAUGCACAGCAGCUUCAUUCUGACUUCAUCAGCCUAGGUCUGCCAAAAUAAAUGAAAUUAAAUGCAGAAAUCCUGAAGGACAUGACUAUGCUAAAAAAGUUAAUCAAAUCCGGGUAUUAAAUUUGGUACACCAAUAGUAAUUUUCCAGUUCAUUUAAACAUGCAGCUGUGCCACAACUAUUAACACUUUAAAUAUAUAUACUCAUUUUUCAGGACAUUGCAAAAUAAAUCUCUACCUUUUGUUCUUUCUCACUUUUUUGGAGAACAAGAACUAACAAGUUUUAAGGCAGUUUACAAUAUUUAAAAUAUAAUAGUGUGGAGUUCUUUGGGAAGGAAAGACUAUGUGCUGAUUUCCACGGGUUCUUUGAUAAUAUUAAUGGCACUCCACUUUUGACUCUGUACCACAGGUGCAUCUGUGAAAAUUAAUUUUACUUGGAUUCCAUUGCACAAUGUCUAAUAUCGGCAAGUAACAAAGCAGAAGCCCUUGGCAAGAUUUUUUUCCCCCAAUUACCUCACAGGAUUUGUGGUUUGCCAACUGAACGGCCUCCAGAGAACAAUAAAUCUGAACUGAGUGGAAAUCUUUGAGAUCCUCGCUUUAGGAGAAACUCCACGUGAAAUUUUAAAGGCAGAGUUGCUUGGGAAGGAGAGUUCCUGAAGGUAGCCAUCUGAUGGAUAUUAGUUGUAUUAAGAUGGAACUCUCAUUUUGAAGUCCCAACACACCUAAUAACCACUGAGUUUGAGAAGGCUGCUGGAAAGUUUUUACGAAGGGAAAUGAAUAGUUCAAAGAACAAGAGAAUAUAAACUGGCUUGUUAAAUACGAAAUAAGCAUCUGUAAAUGAGAUCUCUUGUUAACAAAACACCUGGAACAGGAAAGGACUAUGUACUGUAGUGCCUUUGGCUGAUUAUAUAAGAUACAUAUGGUCUAAUGGGAUGUUGAAUACCAACACGUGUUUGCUUUUAAGGCUCUACUGCUCUGACUAGGAAGAGCCUUGAGGAAUUUGUGUACAGGGAAAUCGGAGUUUUUCUCAUUGUUCUUUUGCAAGGGGGAAUCGUUACCUUAUCUCCUAAGCUCUGUUUGGUUAAAGUGAAACAAGAAACCUGGGUCUGUGCUUUUAUUACUUUGCAUAAAGAUUCUGAAAUAAAUAUUCCUCCAAGCAACACCUCUGUAUAAAAAAUGAAGUGUUGAUGGCAAGUUGAGGUAGAGGCCUAGUCUAUCAAUCUUCCUUAUGUUCAGAAUUGCAGUACAUUCUGAACAGGGACGUCUUUUUCAGAGUACUCUAUCAUUGGAUUUUCCUUCAGUAGUUUUAUUCCUAUAUUUACUCAUCUAAAUCAGAACAAAUACUUUUUCAGAAA